GUAGGUGGCAAGCGUUGUCCGGAAUUAUUGGGCGUAAAGCGCGCGCAGGCGGUCCUUUAAGUCUGAUGUGAAAGCCCACGGCUCAACCGUGGAGGGUCAUUGGAAACUGGGGGACUUGAGUACAGAAGAGGAAAGCGGAAUUCCAAGUGUAGCGGUGAAAUGCGUAGAGAUUUGGAGGAACACCAGUGGCGAAGGCGGCUUUCUGGUCUGUAACUGACGCUGAGGCGCGAAAGCGUGGGGAGCAAACAGGGAUUAGAUACCCUGGUAGUCCACGCCGUAAACGAUGAGUGCUAAGUGUUAGGGGGUUUCCGCCCCCCUUAGUGCUGCAGCUAACGCAUUAAGCACUCCGCCUGGGGAGUACGGCCGCAAGGCUG
rnacentral:rRNA from 1 species